rnacentral:rRNA from 1 species
UGGGGAAUAUUGGACAAUGGGCGAAAGCCUGAUCCAGCCAUGCCGCGUGUGUGAAGAAGGCCUUAUGGUUGUAAAGCACUUUAAGUGGGGAGGAAAAGCUUAUGGAUAACACCCAUAGGUUCUGACGUUACCCACAGAAUAAGCACCGGCUAACUCUGUGCCAGCAGCCGCGGUAAUACAGAGGGUGCAAGCGUUAAUCGGAAUUACUGGGCGUAAAGCGAGCGUAGGUGGUUUAUUAAGUCAGAUGUGAAAUCCCUGGGCUUAACCUAGGAGCUGCAUCUGAUACUGAUAAACUAGAGUAGGUGAGAGGAAAGUAGAAUUCCAGGUGUAGCGGUGAAAUGCGUAGAUAUCUGGAGGAAUACCGAUGGCGAAGGCAGCUUUCUGGCAUCAUACUGACACUGAGGUUCGAAAGCGUGGGUAGCAAACAGGAUUAGAUACCCUGGUAGUCCACGCCGUAAACGAUGUCUACCAGUCGUUGGGUCUUUUAAAGGCUUAGUGACGCAGUUAACGCGAUAAGUAGACCGCCUGGGGAGUACGGCCGCAAGGUUA